GCGGGCUAAUCUGCCUAUAAAUUGAGGGCUUCAUAGAAGCCUGAAAAUCACCAACUACGAUUCCCCCUCCUUCCUUUAUGCACCAAAAAUCAUAGAGAGUUUAUUUCAGCUGCAAUCUGGACCCCAAGAGUUUAUUCACUCCUGAAUUCAUUAGCACAGCAGCCAACCAAGCACAAAACACACAAGGUUGAGCUGUGAUGGAUGAUGAAGUGUUGCUGAGUGGAGCUUUUGUCAAUUUGAAAUUAGGCUCAGAAAGGAUAUAUGUCUGCAUACAUGUAUCUCAGUUAUGUCUUUCGCUGCAAACACUGAUUAUGUUUUAGUCAAGUCUAUAACUAUGUCAAUUACUCUCCACAGAAAUAUCUAAUGCUUACUCGGGUUAAUCGAGUAUUUUUUUUUA